CCUGGCGCUAAAAAAGGUUUAUGCAGUAGGUGAAAGAUGUGUACACGCUUCACACAGUGCCCAGGCACACACUCUGCAGCCUAGUCUCUGGUCAGGUUAGAGUUAGACACACAUACACUGUUGAAAAGUGAUUUAGACAGUUUGUUGAAGACAAUGCAGGAGGUUUAAGGGCACAGAAAAGACAAAUACACUAUCUACCCAAGGACACUGCCCAUUCAGUAGCCUAUCAGGUGAGUGUGUGUGUGUGUGUGUGUUUUUGAUGGAAGGUGGGGGAUUGAAUAUGUUUGGGGUCGGGUCAGGUUUGUAAAGGCAUCCACAAACAUAGGUUCGGUUUGUUCCUACCAGUACUCGGCAAGGUGAGGCAAGCCUCGCAUACUCCCUUAAAAAGCCAUUUGCUUGAAAACAAGAAACAAGCAGCAAUUCUACCGUUUGUCCUCUUGAGACAGUGUUUUAGAAAAUAUUGAAUCAAAUACUUAUCAGAUACCAGAGCUUGUGAAUUCAAAUAGACUUUAUUACAGAGAGUGACAAAACCAAGCAAUUCCAUGAAAGAACUGACUCUUCAUUCUUAGUGAUGGUUUUUAUACAGUUUUACCCUUACAUAACAUCAUCACUCCACUUUGUGAAUCUUGUUGUCUUACUUAGUUUCCAUUCUCUUAUUGGCUCAGACAUUGAGGCAUAGAUUCUAUUGGUGGAGUGACAUGCAUACUCCUACUGGUGCCUAUCACUGAUUAGCUAAUGUUCCUGUCAAAGGUCUUCACAUGUUCAGGCUGAUGUUGUCUAUGUAUGAUUAACCCAUGUGCAUGUCCAGUAGCCUUCAUAAGAUCAGACAUGGCCCAGACCAGUCACGUCUUGUUAGUCUACCUUGCCUCAUCCACACAGAUUCUGCUUGCGUUUCAAGAUCUCUCCAUUCAUACGAAAAGGAAAGGUUAGUGACUGGAAGAACAAUUUCACGGUGGCCCGGAGCGAACAGUUUGAUGAAGACUAUAAGAAGAAGAUGAACACCGUACAGUUCCGCACUGUAGUCUAGGAGUUGUGGUCAAGUUGGUUGUCUGAUUGUUUGUGGUCAGGUUGAUUGAUUGUGUAUUUGGCGCACAUAGACCUACGAUAGGCUCGGCUGGGGUGUCAGUCUUCCAUUGGUCCACAGUUAACUGGGUUAUAGUGUUGAAUAUACUGGGUGAGGAUCAUAUCGUAUCAUAUCCUGGAGUGUGAAUGAGAAAGAUCAUGAAGUGUCUUAUAUCAUUUUUUGAGAAUGAUUGAUGCUACUUUGAGAUAUGAGCUAUAGGUUGAGAACUAAAAACAAAAGUAAAAUGAGGACAUGCUGCACAGUACAUUCUUAGCAAUGUGAGCUAUUUGUAAAUCCUCUUGCCUGGUCUGUUUUUCAGUGUCUGAGAAAAAAACAGUGAGAGCCGAUACAGUAAUAAAUAUGUAAAUGGAGAAGAGCAUUGUUAAGCAUCAAGCAUUGUUUUAUGCUGUUUCAAAAAUAUACAUACUUUGUAACAAUUCUGUUUAACAAAAAUACUGAGUGGAGGGGGAGCCAGGCCAUUUAGGAUCUUGAAUACAAGACAUGCGUCGGUGUAUUGCACAAGAUUUUCCCAACUCAGGAACUCAUGCUUUCUGAGGAUGUAACAGUAAUGAUGGUGAUUGGGCUUCCUAUCAAGCACUUUGAGAGACUGUUUGUUAUAGUCAGUUAUAGGCAGUUAUAUUCAAUGAACUAAUAACUGAUCAUAAUCUUGAUGUGAUUGGCCUGACUGAAACAUGGCUGAAGCCUGAUGAAUUUACUGUUAAAUGAGGCCUCACCUCCUGGCUACACUAGUGACCAUAUCCCCUGUGCAUCCCGCAAAGGCGGAGGUGUUGCUAACAUUUACAAUAGCAAAUUUCAAUUUACAAAAAAAAAGAAGACUUUUUCGUCUUUUGAGCUUCUAGUCAUGACAUCUAUGCAGCCUACUCAAUCACUUUUUAUAGCUACUGUUUACAUGCCUCCUGGGCCAUAUACAGCGUUCCUCAUUGAGUUCCCUGAAUUCAUAUUGGACCUUGUAGUCAUAGCAGAUAAUAUUCUAAUUUUUGGUGACUUUAAUAUUCACAUGGAAAAGUCCACAGACCCACUCCAAAAGGCUUUCGGAGCCAUCAUCGACUGCGUUUUGUCCAACAUGUCUCUGGACCUACUCACUGUCACAGUCAUACUCUGGACCUAGUUUUGUCCCAUGGAAUAAAUGUUGUGGAUCUUAAUGUUUUUCCUCAUAAUCCUGGACUAUCGGACCACCAUUUUAUUACGUUUGCAAUUGCAACAAAUAAUCUUCUCAGACCCCAACCAAGGAGCAUCAAAAGUCGUGCUAUAAAUUCACAGACAACACAAAGAUUCCUUGAUGCCCUUCCAGACUCCCUCUGCCUACCCAAGGGGGUCAGAGGACAAAAAUCAGUUAACCACCUAACUGAGGAACACAAUUUAACCUUGCGCAAUACCCUAGAUGCAGUUGCACCCCUAAAAAGAAAAACAUUUCUCAUAAGAAACUAGCUCCCUGGUAUACAGAAAAUAUCCGAGCUCUGAAGCAAGCUUCCAGAAAAUUAGAACAGAAAUGUCGCCACACCAAACUGGAAGUCUUCCAACUAGCUUGCAAAGACAGUGCAGUAUUGAAGAACCCUUACUGCUGCUCAAUCAUCCUAUUUUUCCAACUUAAUUGAGGAAAAAAAGAACAAUCCAAAAUGUAUUUUUGAUACUGUCGCUAAGCUAACUAAAAAGCAGCAUUUGUCACACCCUGACCAUAGUUUGCUUUGUAUGUUUCUAUGUUUUGUUUGGUCGGGGUGUGAUCUGAGUGGGCAUUCUAUGUUGGAUGUCUUGUUUGUCGGUUUCUGUGUUUGGGCCUGAUAUGGUUCUCAAUCAGAGGCAGGUGUUAGUCAUUGUCUCUGAUUGGGAGCCAUAUUUAGGUAGCCUGUUUUGUGUUGGGUUUUGUGGGUGGUUGUCUCCUGUGUCAGUGUUUGUACCACACGGGACUAUUUAGGGUUUUCACGGUUCUUGUUUUGUAGUUUAUUCAUUUAUAGUUUUAUUAUUAAAGAACCAUGAAUUAUAACCACGCUGCAUUUUGGUCUGCCUCUCCUUCCCAGGAGGAAUCCCGUUACAGCAUUCCCCAAGUGAGGAUGGCUUUCACUUCAGCAGUAAUAAAUUCAUGAACUUCUUUGAGGAAAAGAUCAUGAUAAUUAGAAAGCAAAUUACGGACUCCUCUUUAAUUCUGCGUAUUCCUUCAAAGCUCAGUUGUCCUGAGUCUGCACAACUCUGCCAGGAUCUAGGAUCAAGAGAGACACUCAAGUGUUUUAGUACGAUAUCUCGACACAAUGAUGAAAAUAAUCAUGGCCUCUAAACCUUCAUGCUGCAUACUGGACCCUAUUCCAACUAAACUACUGAAAGAGCUGCUUCCUGUGCUUGGCCCUCCUAUGUUGAACAUAAUAUAUGGCUCUCUAUCCACCGGAUGUGUACCAAACUCACUAAAAGUGGCCUCUCUUGAAAAAGCCAAACUUUGACCCAGAAAAUAUAAAAAAACUAUCGGCCUAUAUCGAAUCUUCCAUUCCUCUAAUUAUUUUUUAGAAAAGGCUGUUGCACAGCAACUCACUGCCUUCCUGAAGACAAACAAUGUGUACGAAAUGCUUCAGUCUGGUUUUAGACCCCAUCAUAGCACUGAGACCGCACUUGUGAAGAUGGUAUAUCACCUUUUAAUGGCAUCAGACCGAGGCUCUGCAUCUGUCCUCGUGCACCUAGACCUUAGUGCUGCUUUUGAUACCAUCGAUCACCACAUUAUUUUGGAGAGAUUGGAAACCCAAACUGGUCUACAUGGACAAGUUCUGGCCUGGUUUAGAUCUUAUCUGUCGGAAAGAUAUCAGUUUGUCUCUGUGAAUGGUUUGUCCUCUGACAAAUCAACUGUAAAUUUCAGUGUUCCUCAAGGUUCCGUUUUAGGACCACUAUUGUUUUCACUAUAUAUUUUGCCUCUUGGGGAUGUCAUUCGAAAACAUAAUGUUAACUUUCACUGCUAUGCGGAUGACACACAGCUGUAUAUUUCAAUGAAACAUGGUGAAGCCCCAAAAUUGCCCUCGCUAGAAGUCUGUUUCAGACAUAAGGAAGUGGAUGGCUGCAAACUUUUUACUUUUAAACCCGGACAAAACAGAGAUGCUUGUUCUAGGUCCCAAGAAACAAAGAGAUCUUCUGUUGAAUCUGACAAUUCAUCUUAAUGAUUGUACAGUCAUCUCAAAUAAAACUGUGAAGGACCUCGGCCUUAGAUUAAUCCAUGAUUUUGUUACUUCUAGGGUAGACUACUGCAAUGCUCUACUUUCCGGCUACCCAGAUAAAGCACUAAAUAAACUUCAGUUAGUGCUAAAUACGGCUGCUAGAAUCCUGACUAGAACCAAAGAAAUUGAUCAUAUUACUCCAGUGCUAGCCUCCCUACACUGGCUUCCUGUUAAGGCAAGGGCUGAUUUCAAGGUUUUUACUGCUAAACUACAAAGCAUUAUAUGGGCUUUCUCCUACCUAUCUCUCUGAUUUGGUCCUGCCGUACAUACCUACACGUACGUUACGGUCACAAGACGCAGGCCUCCUAAUUGUCCCUAGAAUUUCUAAACAAACAGCUGGAGGCAGGGCUAUCUCCUAUAGAGCUCCAUUUUUAUAGAAUGGUCUGCCUACCCAUGUGAGAUACGCAGAGUCGGUCUCAACCUUUAAGUCUUUACUGAAGACUCAUCUCUUCAGUGGGUCAUAUGAUUGAGUGUAGUUUGGCCCAGGUGUGUGAAGGUGAACGGAAAGGCUCUGGAGCAACGAACAGCCCUUGCUGUCUCUGCCUGGCCGAUCCCCUCUUUCCACUGGGAUUCUCUGCCUCUAACUCUAUUACAGGGGCUGUCACUGGCUUACUGGUACUCUUACAUGCCGUCCCUAGGAGGGGUGCGUCACUUGAGUGGGUUGAGUCACUGAUGUGAAAUUCCUGUCUGGGUUGGCGCCCCCCCUUGGGUUGUGCCGUGGCGGAGAUCUUUGUGGGCUAUCCUCGGCCUUGUCUCAGGAUGGUAAGUUGGUGGUUGAAGAUAUCCCUCUAGUGGUGUGGGGGCUGUGCUUUGGCAAAGUGGGUGGGUUUAUAUCCUUCCUGUUUGGCACUGUCCGGGGGUAUCAUCGGAUGGGGCCAAAGUGUCUCCUGACCCCUCCUGUCUCAACCUCCAGUAUUUAUGAUGCAGUAGUUUGUGUCGGGGGGCUAGGGUGAGUUUGUUAUAUCUGGAGUACUUCUCCUGUCUUAUCCGGCAUCCUGUGUGAAUUUAAGUAUGCUCUCUCUAAUUCUCUCUCUUUCUUUCUCUCUCUCGGACGACCUGAGCCCUAGGACCAUGCCUCAGGACUACCUGGCAUGAGGACUCCUUGCUGUCCCCAGUCCAUGGCCGUGCUGCUGCUCCAGUUUAAACUGUUCUGCCUGCAGCUAUGGAAUCCUGACCUGUUCACCGGACUUGCUACCUGUCCCAGACAUGCUGUUUUCAACUCUCUAGAGACAGCAGGAGUGGUAGAGAUACUCUUAAUGUUUGGCUAUGAAGAGCCAACUGACAUUUACUCCUGAGGUGCUGACUUGCUGCACCCUCGACAACUACUGUGAUUAUUAUUAUUUGACCAUGCUGGUAAUUUACGAACAUUUGAACAUCUUGGCCAUGUUCUGUUAUAAUCUCCACCCGGCACAGCCAGAAGAGGACUGGCCAUCCCUCAUAGCCUGGUUCUUCUCUAGGUUUCUUCCUUGGUUAUGGCUUUUCUAGGGAGUUUUCCCUAACCACCGUGCUUCUACACCUGCAUUUCUUGCUGUUUGUGAUUUUAGGCUGGGUUUCUGUACAGCACUUUGAGAUAUCAGCUGAUGUACGAAGGGCUAUAUAAAUACAUUUGAUUUGAUUUGAUUUGUAGACAGACUGAAUGGGUUUUAAUGUUGUACAGCAAGCUUGGGCCCAACUAGACAAGCAGUAUGUUAAGUGAGGGAGUAUUAUAGUACAGUUUUGCUACCUCUGUAGUCAAACAAUUUUGUAUAAAUCGGAAAUUAGCUAGGUUGAAUUUGGUUAUUUGAAUUGCCAAUUUUAUCUGCUUUUUAAAAGAGAGGUUGGAAUAAAGUAUGAUGCCAAGCUACCUAAAAUCAGAUACCAUCUGGAGCUUCUCCCCUGACACUUAGACGUUCUGGCUCAGUAGCAUCUGUUGCCCUCUUUGUGAAGAACAUGCAGACAGUUUUUUUCACAUUGAUUUGCAAACACGAGUCACUGAGCCAAUUUGUAACCUGGACCAUUACAGUAGUGAGUUCUUGUUCAGCUUGUUGUUUGCUCUUUGCAUGCACAUAUAUCACUGUAUCAUCUGCAUAUAUUUGAACUUCAGACCCAGUACUGACAGAAGGCAGAUCAUUAAUGUACAGGCUGAACAGGAGGGGCCCCAGUAUUGACCCUUGGGGCACGCCCACAUCAGAGCUAAGAGUGGGCGACAGCUCAUUGCUCACCCUGACACACUGAGUUCUGCCUUCAAGGUAUGACUUCAUCAAUCUUAAGGCAUCGGGGGCAAAGUUGAACUUGGACCAUUUUGUGAUGAGUCAUGGUUAGGCCUUCCUUAGGUCCAAAAAAACAGCCCCAACAACGCCCCUUUUGUCCAUCUUGGACUUCACAUUUUCCAGAAGAAAGCAUUUGGCCGUUUCGGUUGAGUCUUUCGCUCUGAAGCCAAACUGCAUGGAGUGUAAUGUGAAGGGGCUGUUGUUGAGGUGGGCAAUCAGUUGUUCUGCUACACACUUUAACAACCUUCGACACCACAGGUAGUAUACUAAUGGGCCUGGAGUUACUCACGUCAGCAGGGUCACCCAAUUUAAAGAUGGGCGUUAUCUGGCCGACUUCCAUACCCUUGGAAACACCCCCAGACCAAUAGAUGUGUUGGUGACCAUAGUAAUGGCGCCAAAGAGUGACUAUUUGUAGUUUUUAUGAAAGGUGAGUCCAGCCCAAACACAUCUUUGGCUUUAGGGUUCUUUAGUGAGCUCAUCACCUUGUUCACCUUUGACUCAAAAUCCUCCCUUAUGAUGAAGACAGGUUGAGCGUCAUUUACUAGCAGUGAGCCCAAGAAACAAGUGGAGGGGUUCUGUGUCAGUAAAGUCAAUAGUCAAUAAAGUAGAAAUUGAAGGCUAUUGCUAUUUCGACUGCAUCCUGUGUUAGACUGUUAUUCACCAUGAUUUCUAGUCUUUUUGCAAUGUUACUAUGGUCUUUCCCUGUUAACUGUUUUAGAGUCUCCCAGAUCAAUUUAGAAUUUCCCUUUGCUUUACCAAUUAUGUUAAUAAAAAAGUUUGCCUUG